AAUAAGGAUUUCUUUUUUUUUUUUUGCUAAGACUAGCAACUCCUGGUCCAUAAGCAAAGUGACGUAUCGAUUUAAGUUCUCAUUGGGAAAUUGCUUGUUAAAAAAUCUGGACCUUAUAUUCGAUUCUCAUUAACAUUUGAACAUCGAUACCAGACUCAUCUGUUUCUCAUUAGCCUCCACGUAGCAAUCUAUUGAUAAAAAAAGAGAGAAGUCAAUUUAUAUAUAUAUAUAUAUAUAA